AUACGUAGGGGGCAAGCGUUAUCCGGAUUUACUGGGUGUAAAGGGAGCGCAGACGGCUAUGUAAGUCUGAAGUGAAAGCCCGCGGCUCAACCGCGGGACUGCUUUGGAAACUAUGCAGCUUGAGUGUCGGAGAGGUAAGCGGAAUUCCAAGUGUAGCGGUGAAAUGCGUAGAUAUUUGGAAGAACACCGGUGGCGAAGGCGGCUUACUGGACGAUAACUGACGUUGAGGCUCGAAGGCGUUGGGAGCAAGCAGGAUUAGAUACCCUGGUAGUCCACGCGGUAAACGAUGAAUACUAGGUGUCGGUGCCCAAAGGGUAUCGGUGCCGUCGCAAACGCAGUAAGUAUUCCACCUGGGGAGUACGUUCGCAAGAAUGAAACUCAAAUGAAUUGACGGGG
rnacentral:rRNA from 1 species